rnacentral:rRNA from 1 species
GACGAACGCUGGCGGCGUGCUUAACACAUGCAGGUCGAACGGAAAGGCCCUGCUUGCAGGGUACUCGAGUGGCGAACGGGUGAGUAACACGUGGGUGAUCUGCCCUGCACUUCGGGAUAAGCCUGGGAAACUGGGUCUAAUACCGGAUAGGAGCCAUUUUUAGUGUGAUGGUUGGAAAGUUUUUCGGUGUAGGAUGAGCUCGCGGCCUAUCAGCUUGUUGGUGGGGUAAUGGCCUACCAAGGCGGCGACGGGUAGCCGGCCUGAGAGGGUGGACGGCCACAUUGGGACUGAGAUACGGCCCAGACUCCUACGGGAGGCAGCAGUGGGGAAUAUUGCACAAUGGGCGCAAGCCUGAUGCAGCGACGCCGC